UGAGACCUCUACAAAAGAGCCAACCACGUCUCAGGGUUGAGAACCCAAUAUGCUUUCUCCACUGUCUGCCUUCACAGUGGCCUGGAUUCUGAGUCUCAGGCUGGAUCAAGGGAGACAGGCUGGUCUUAGCAUGAAAGUUCUGGUAGGAUGCAGGAUGCUGAAGGGGCUGUCCUCUGGCUUGUGAGUCACGCAGGCCCUAGCCUUCUAGCAGAGUCAGUGGGACAGGUGACAGCCCCUAGGACAAGAUGGCAUGUUACAGUGGCUGUUGUAGAAACGAGAGGACCCAAUGUGAGUUCGGCCUUUGGAACAAGGCAGUCACUGAGAUAAGCCAGCUGCCCAAACUGGACGUAAACCCUAGGCCCCAGCAAGAUCUCCAGAGACUGGAUUGCAAUACUUAGGGGCCUUGGGAUUCCCAGGAGAAGAGAAGAGUGCACCAGCUGGAGAAGACUAUUGAAAUUGAGCACCCAGAGAUGUUCAAAGGCCUCGAGAAAAUUUUCUCUGGCCAAUUACUACCAAACAUUUUAGAGGCACCCCAGCACUGCCACGCAAAAGAAAAGCAAAAAGGUAAAUCUAAAAUCAUCUCGUCUGAAUGCUUCUGGAGCUGCUACCUCCUUGUAUGCUACCAUUUCAGGAGAGCUACCGCCUUCCUACCACUAGGCUCGAUUCCCGCUGAAGAUGCUGGUAAGAGACCAAGGCAUGCUUUGCCUUUAGUUUAGCAACUCAACACUGUCUCUUUUCAGGCCAAAGCCAGUGAUGAAAAGGAUGGCUUUACAUGACCAGGCAGCCUGUGUGUCAAAUGAGCACAUUUCCUGAGCAUCAUGUAGCGUCUUCCGAGCCCUCGGCAGUCAAUUUGUAACAGCACUGACAUACUUUCCCCAUGGGAAAGACACUUAGCAAAACUGCAAUGAAAACAUUUAAGAAAAAAUUCUAUACACAAUUAUUUGAAACCUCUCUGUUUGGAUAAUCAGGUUUCGGACACAUUCUUUUCAAGCAUUCAAAUUAAACACUUAAGCACAGGCACACUGCACACCUAACCUACAGUGUUUCUACCUCACCGGACCAAGCUAACAAACA